AUGCUGUGGCCGCGGCUCGAGGGCCUGGAUUUGGCCGCCGUUAGAAAGUACGCCAUAGAUGGGAUUUGGAAGCUGAUUAAAUCUGCAAAUUCUUUGCCAUUGACAGCGGCGUUGUUUGUCAACUACCUUGAUAGGUUCCUCUUCGUCUAUCCCCUUCCUGCAGGAAGGCAAAGCGUGGGAUGGCUCUUGGCAGUGGCUUGCAUUUGUCUCGCUUCAAGGAUGGAGGAGACCUAUGUGCCACUCCCCAUGGACCUGCAGGUCAUCUCAAUUAAUCGAUGGUUUUUGCUUGACAGGUGAUUGAGGCAAAGUCUUCCUUUGUAUGGCAAUGAGCAUAAAAAGGAUGGAGCGGUUACUUCUUGCUCAUUUAUUGACUACUUCCUUCGCAACUUCAAUCAUCAUGACACACCCUCCAUGCUCGCAUUCACCCGUGACCGACCCCAUCUUGAGCACAACUAAAGGUAUGAGCUGAUUUUUGGGUUCAGACCUUCAUAGUUUGCUGCACCUGUUGCACUUGCUGUAUUUGGGGGGAGCGCAACUUCAGUGGUUGAAAGAGCUACAACUAAUUGCAUGUGUAUAAACAAGGAGCGAGUGUUAAGAUGCUACAAAUUGAUUCAGGACAAGAUAUCAAUGGGAACCACGGACAUCAAAUCGGUUGGAUACUCAAUGUUCUAUGUGCCGCAAAGCCCGAUAGGCGUGUUGGAUGCUGAUGUAUGUCUCAGCCAACAGAGUGAUGAUACUGUUGUUGGAUCUCGAGCAACAUUAUACCACAACUCUUCGACAAGCAAAAGGAUGAGAAUUGGCAGAUGA
rnacentral:rRNA from 1 species